rnacentral:rRNA from 1 species
GCAAGUCGAGCGGUAACAGAGUGUAGCUUGCUACUUUGUUGACGAGCGGCGGACGGGUGAGUAAUGCUUGGGAAUAUGCCUUAGGGUGGGGGACAACAGUUGGAAACGACUGCUAAUACCGCAUGACGUCUACGGACCAAAGGGGGCUUCGGCUCUCGCCCUUAGAUUAGCCCAAGUGGGAUUAGCUAGUUGGUGAGGUAAAGGCUCACCAAGGCGACGAUCCCUAGCUGGUUUGAGAGGAUGAUC